rnacentral:rRNA from 1 species
AGUGAACGCUGGCGGCAGGCCUAACACAUGCAAGUCGAACGGCAGCACAGGAGAGCUUGCUCUCUGGGUGGCGAGUGGCGGACGGGUGAGGAAUAUAUCGGAAUCUACCCUUUCGUGGGGGAUAACGUAGGGAAACUUACGCUAAUACCGCAUACGAACUGAGGUUGAAAGCGGCGGACCGCAAGGCGUCGCGCGGAUGGAUGAGCCGAUAUCCGAUUAGCUAGUUGGCGGGGUAAAAGCCCAACAAGGCGACGAUCGGUAGCUGGUCUGAGAGGAUGAACAGACACACUGGAACUGAGACACGGUCCAGAAUCCUACGGGAGGCAGAAGUGGGGAAUAUUGGACAAUGGGCGAAAGCCUGAUCCAGCCAUGCCGCGUGUGUGAAGAAGGCCUUCGGGUUGUAAAGCGCUUUUGUUGGGAAAGAAAAGCGGUCGGUUAAUACCCGGUCGUUCUGACGGUACCCAAAGAAUAAGCACCGGCUAACUUCGUGCCAGCAGCCGCCGUAA